UACGUAGGGCGCGAGCGUUGUCCGGAAUUAUUGGGCGUAAAGAGCUCGUAGGCGGUUUGUCGCGUCGGUUGUGAAAACCCAAGGCUCAACCUUGGGCCUGCAAUCGAUACGGGCAGACUAGAGUACUGCAGGGGAGACUGGAAUUCCUGGUGUAGCGGUGGAAUGCGCAGAUAUCAGGAGGAACACCGAUGGCGAAGGCAGGUCUCUGGGCAUUAACUGACGCUGAGGAGCGAAAGCAUGGGGAGCGAACAGG
rnacentral:rRNA from 1 species